UCUUACUCGGUGGGACUCCUUACCUCACUGACCUACAAGUUACAGAGGCCAUUGGAUCAUGGACGGCUCUCCUGGAUGUGGAUAAAGAGCGGGUCAACUACCAGCCCCGGCACCAGCCUCAACUUACACACGGCCGCUUUAAGGCACCAAAACGCUCCGGGGUGACACCAGGAGUGGAAAGUGUCAAAAGGUGUCUCAGUGGACAUCCUGGGUUCCAGCUCAGUGGCCAAGCACCAGCCGCUUGGUUCAAUUAAGUUUUCUUUGUAUAGCCCAAAUUCACAACAACAGUCGUCUCCAUGUUAAGGCUGUAUGCAUCAAGCUUAGCAGAUUACAUGAGACUCCCACCAAAAAGGUUGGAGGUGGUCCAAAACCCUCACGGAUUACUACCAUACCCAGGAUUUAGUGCAGAGGCUGAUGGAUCCAUGAUCCAGCUGUUUGAGCUCAAUCAGAGGAAACUCCUUCAGUGGUUUCAGCGGCGGCAGAAAAACCAACAAAUGAGGCCGAGGACACUCAUUGACUCCACCCGAGCCAGUUGCUGUAGCUGCAAGCGACCUUCCAGCUCCAAGGGAUAAAAUGGAUGAGGCACCACAUCCACAUCUGGGCCAAACUUCAAAUGGAUUCUCCCUCUAAAUAGAGCAGGACAGCAGGAGUCAGUGACAGAAAAAUGUUUAGACACACCUGAAAUGUGUGUAUUUUUCCACAAAUGUGAUGAAGCACCUAAACCUUCAGCUGCUGGAUUUUCAGAGUCGACUUUUCCAGAGUGAGGAUGUGGGAUUUGAACAAUUGGGUCAGACGCUACACACAGACGUUCGAUCCA